AUCCCUCCCUUGGCUUCAGCUGCCAUGUUCAGCCCCAGACAGCCCAGGGAAGUGGCUGCUCCUGCAGGCUGCCCGCGAUGAUGGCUUUCUUGGGUCCCUAGGAUACAGACAUUUUAGUUUUGAAACUUGUUCAUGCUAAUUAAAAACAUUUAAUCAUGCCUGUUAAAUUCGCAGCUAAGGGAAAUAAGAGGGAAGUGAGUCACAGGUGCUGAGCAUUCUACUUUGAAAAUCUUAGCCCUUUCUCCUACAGUGGUGUGGACAAGAGGCCUUUGAACCACAGCUCCCACUGAACGCUCGACUCAUGACUCCUGCUAGAAAACACGUUGCUACACUGGAUACCUGGAUAAAUUAUACGGCAACCUCUGCGGAAAGGUCAUUUGACCCCCCCAAAGGGUCACGACCCACAAGUUGAGAACCACUGCUGUAAAGGCUGUCUCCUUCCUCGUGAACUGCUGGGGGAUACUGGAGGUAGGCCCUGACAUUCAUUGUAACCAACCCUAUGAGAACAAAGAACGGGGAAAGUAGAGGAGAAGGGACCUCCAGGUGAGAAACAGGUAUUGCAUUCAUGUGGGAGGGGGGAAUAUAGGGUUAGCUGUUAGGGAAAUGCCACAGGGAGAGCCAUUGGCUGAAUGACUGGGAAAGGCACCAGGUCAGCGUGGUUCCCACACCAGAAGGGCAUGGGAGCUGAGCCUUGAGUGAUUAAUGUGUUGGUAUUAUUUCCCAUUAACCAAAUCCUUUAAGAAUGUCAUAGAGCACUGGAUAAGAGCAAUUUAGGGGAACUGUGCUAUCGAGGGCACAGGUUUUCGGUUUUAGCUAUAUGCUCAGGCCCAGAAGAGUACGCAUCUACCCAAUUCCUUCAUCUUUCCUCCUCCCAAAGCUUAGCCACGUGUUUGGAAAGCCAAAGUCCCUCUCCCUGGAACUUCAUGCCAUGUUGCUGGAGAUCACUUUGUGCCAACAGGGGCCAUCUUGGCUGUGAAGGAGCUCCCACAAUGCUUGCGGAUAGGCACAUGAGUGGACUGGGAACAGAGGGAAAGCAGGAAAGCUGAACCACUGAGAGAUGAUGUCAGGAGGAGAACUGGACCAGGGAAAGUCUCCUGUGCCCAGCUAAUAGGUGGCCCCAUGGGAAAAACCUUUCCGUUGAGGAGGAGCACAAGAGCUAGGAGCUUCUGUCCUGGGAAGCAAAGAGCUCUGAGCAGCAUUUUCAACGCCUUCAGAAAUCUUAGGGCUAUAAGCUCAUUAGAGGAGCUUCAAGUCCUUUGUGCUUGAUAGAAAGGAGGUCUGCAAACAAGGAAAUGAUGGUAGCGCGCACAGGGGACCAGGAGGACUUCCCCAGAAGGAACCAGAGAGCAGGAGGUCCAGGAAGGUGAGCAUCCAAACAGACCAGGAUCCCAAAAAGCCAGUA